rnacentral:rRNA from 1 species
GUAGCACAGAGAGCUUGCUCUCGGGUGACGAGCGGCGGACGGGUGAGUAAUGUCUGGGAAACUGCCUGAUGGAGGGGGAUAACUACUGGAAACGGUAGCUAAUACCGCAUAAUGUCGCAAGACCAAAGUGGGGGACCUUCGGGCCUCAUGCCAUCAGAUGUGCCCAGAUGGGAUUAGCUAGUAGGUGGGGUAACGGCUCACCUAGGCGACGAUCCCUAGCUGGUCUGAGAGGAUGACCAGCCACACUGGAAC